rnacentral:misc_RNA from 1 species
GAAGUAAAAGUCGUAACAAGGUCUCCGUUGGUGAACCAGCGGAGGGAUCAUUACAGAGUUGCAAAACUCCCAACCCUUUGUGAAUCCUACCUGUUUAGUUGCUUCGGCAGGCGGCCCCAGGGCGGGGUCUUUUGCUUGUUUACAGGCGUCUGCCGAAGGAGUUUAAAACUCUUUAAUGCUUUCCGUGGCUCUCUGAGUUAAAAAAAAUAAGUCAAAACUUUCAACAACGGAUCUCUUGGUUCUGGCAUCGAUGAAGAACGCAGCGAAAUGCGAUAAGUAAUGUGAAUUGCAGAAUUCAGUGAAUCAUCGAAUCUUUGAACGCAUAUUGCGCCCGUUAGUAUUCUAGCGGGCAUGCCUGUUCGAGCGUCAUUUCAACCCUCAAGCCCCUGCUUGGUGUUGGGGCCCUAUAGCUGUUAUAGGCCCUGAAAAUUAGUGGCGGGCCCGCUAACACUCCGAGCGCAGUAGUUAAUUUCUCGCUUAGGACGUUUGGCGGGUUCUAGCCGUUAAACCCUUUAAUUUUCAAAUGGUUGACCUCGGAUCAGGUAGGAAUACCCGCUGAACUU